GGGCUGGGUCUAGGGUAGUUAGGGGAGCAGGGUAGCGUGGGGAGGAGGGGGGUAGAGGAGCAACGGCGGUAGCUGCCGCGAGGGGAGCUAGGGAGGGUGGCGGCAGAGGGAGGGAAUCUAGCUCGAGGGGUAGGGGAGAGGGAGGGUGGAGAGCUUCGAGGGCGCAGGGUGGCGGCGCGUAGCACGAGGAGACGUCGAAGACGCCGCUGCGUCGGCGGCGACUGAUGAGAGGAAGGAGGAAGGAGGUCGUGAUGAGAGGUUGGAGCGGAGAGCGAAUCGGCGGGGCGCGGGGCGCGAGCGGCCCCGGGGCAUCGCGGCGAGUCAGGGAGUGCGAGUCCGGGUUGCUCCAGCGCGUGCGCGAGUGGCCGUGUGGGCAGAAGUGGCAGACGUUGAGGUCCUUGCGCAAGCACAAGCAGAGGCGAGGGAGCCGGAGGAGACGAAGGCAAGGCUCCUGCGGCUACGGGAGGAGAAGCAGGCUCCAGCAGCCUUGGUGCUGCUGGCCGCGCGGGCACGCACUCCUCUACUGCUGCUGGGGCUGUUCGGUAAGUCCCGGUCGUUCUUCCGGUGGCGGGGUCGUGGUGGUCGUCGUCAUGGGAGUUCCCUGCUCUGGUGGCCGCGGGUGGUCCUAGAGGCGGCGACGUAGAACCAUUGCUAGUGCACUCUUUCGUGGCGUCCACCCGCCGACGUAGACUCCGACUCCUUAAACCAAGCCCCACUCGCCCCCUACCGAACUAGGAUCUUCCCUAGACUACGCGAUGACGUCUGUAUGCUUGUGUCCUCCCCAGGUCUAAACGGCAAACGGUCUAAGCGCGAGCACGGCAUCCAACGGUCGCUUCAUGGAGUCGGACAAGUCCGUAGAAAGUAUGUAACUCGUUGUUGCCGCUUGAGCUCGCCUACUACCUUCCGGAGCCAAACCUCGGUUCUUUUCCGCACCUGCUCCGGUAAAGACGUUCCGGCGGGCGUUUAACGACGUACGUUGUAGCUACAUCGAGACUAGGUCUUGGACCAAGAACCUACGUUGUGCGUAACAGGACCUGUCCAUAUCGGGGCCAGUAUGGUAUUAUACAAUCACGAGUCAGUACAUACGUAGAGGUACAACGUUCGGACGGUAUGAACUAUCCUAGUCAUGAAUAAUUGAUGAGUAUACACGAACAUCUCUUCUUAUGUUAAUAAUAAAUUGGUCAGGUCUAAAAAUUGUAAACUACACGAAGGUUCCCUGUGUCUAGAGAUGAGAAGAUAUAUUAGGUGUGAAACAAGACCUUCGUUCAGUCAACAUGGUACGACAAUGUAGUGUUGUUCCACAGUAAAUAGUGUUGUUCCAUAGUAAACUACAUGACGACGACAACUACGAGGGACCUCAGAUCUACAUCUACAUGACAACAACAACUACGAUAUCGACAUCGGACAUGAUAACGACAAAACGAUGAUGUCACAUUCAAAGCGACGACGAUCGAUAACCGACGAUGAUCAAUCAUGAAUCAUCAAUGACGAUCGUCACGAUUCAUCGACGACGACGAAGAUAACGAACACGUUAACACGAUCAUCGACGACGACGAAGAUAACGAACACGUUAACACGAUCAUCGGUCAUCUACAAGUAACGUACUGGACGUGAUCAUCGAUCAUCUACACGACCAUGGACAUACGAUCAUAACAACCACACAACUUACAGAAUCAUCUUGUAGUAGUCCAACUACACAACAUCAGUUCAAAACCUUCAAAACGGUACGGUACGGAUCACAAAUGACUUGACUCCAUAAACCCGUAAAUACACAUUAAAAAUAAGAGAACUUACCUAUAAAAAAAUAACCGUUAGUAAAUUGAAGGUAACAUAGAAUAUUAAAUACGUCUAGUCCUAGAUUACAACAACUCCACCGACGACAACACUGGUACUAGUCUUCUUCGGACCUCUACACGUGUUAUCAAAAUCAACUACAACGGUGGUACAAAACCACGUACACAUAAAGAAAAACUAACAUACGUGUGAACUACCUAGCACAUCUGCACAUACACGACAACACUCAAAGUAACUCACUAAAGACCUAAACUAGUAAAUUAACACUCUUAAUAACUAACAAACGACAACUUUACACAUUUUCUUUAGACACUUACUUUU
rnacentral:rRNA from 1 species